rnacentral:rRNA from 1 species
UACAGAGGUGGCGAGCGUUACUCGGAUUUAUUGGGUGUAAAGGGCAGGUAGGCGGCUGCGUAAGUUGGAGGUGAAAUCCUAAGGCUUAACCUUAGAACUGCCUUCAAAACUGCGUAGCUUGAGGCUAAAAGAGGAGAGCGGAAUUCCCGGUGUAAGGGUGAAAUCUGUAGAUAUCGGGAGGAACACCCGUGGCGAAAGCGGCUCUCUGGUUUAGCCCUGACGCUAAGCUGCGAAAGCUAGGGAAG